rnacentral:misc_RNA from 1 species
GAUGAAGAAACGCAGCGAAAUGCGAUAAGUAAUGUGAAUUGCAGAAUUCAGUGAAUCAUCGAAUCUUUGAACGCACAUUGCGCCCGCCAGCAUUCUGGCGGGCAUGCCUGUUCGAGCGUCAUUUCAACCCUCAAGCUCUGCUUGGUGUUGGGGCCCUACGGUUGACGUAGGCCCUUAAAGGUAGUGGCGGACCCUCUCGGAGCCUCCUUUGCGUAGUAACUAACGUCUCGCAUUGGGAUUCGGAGGGACUCUUGCCGUAAAACCCCCAAAUUUUCUAAUGGUUGACCUCGGAUCAGGUAGGAAUACCCGCUGAACUUAAGCAUAUCAUAAGCGGAGGA